rnacentral:sRNA from 1 species
UGGAUGGAGUGGGGCUGGAUAGCUCUCUGGGAGGCCUAUCCUGGCCCCACCUUCUCCAGAGGCAGGGUGACUCAGCACUUCCUAUUAUUACGAAGGCCAAACCCAAAAGGCCCUAUCAAGGCUGACUGCUGUAAAACUACACUGUUCUCCUGGCUCCUGGUACAUUCUCUGUCUGUAUUGUAAAAGGUUGUUCCAGAGGCAGUGUGUGCAGCUCAUCUCAGCGUUUGAUGGUGCCAAUGUAACGUGAACAGCUUUACAAGGACAUUUUGUGUACCUCUCAGAAGCUGACUAAAAGGAAUGGCUCAUACAUGAUGACGUGGGCUGGGGCUGUAGUCAGGUCAAGGUGGAAAACCAGUGCUUGCGAAGCUCGUGGCUGGCUCAGUGGUUAAGAGCACUGACUGCUCUUCUGAAGGUCCUGAGUUCAAUUCCCAGCAACCACA